rnacentral:ribozyme from 1 species
GGAAAAAAAGAACAAAAUCAAAAAAACGGAAAAUACGAACGCAUGAUUGCAUGUUUCAACUAUAAUCAAAACACAAGACUUUUUCCUUCUUCU